CAAAUGGAAUUUUUUGUUAGUUUUAUUGUUCAUUGAGUUUUGGGGGGUAAAAUGGUCAUUUAGUUAAGUUUCCGUUAGUUUUCUUAACGGAUUCUAAAUGGAAUUGGAAAAGUGAAACAAAAUGUAAUUUUAGGUGGAUUCCAGCAAAAGAAGAAGAAGAAAAAAUUUUGUAUUUUUUAAAAAAUUUAACAAAACAGGUGGACGGUGGAUAUUUUUUCAAUUUAAAAAGGAGCUUUUAUGUAGGUAGAAACUAGAACAAUAAGAGAAAUCGAACUUGAAACCUUAAUUAAAUUGAUAAGAAAAGGCUCACCACAAGUAUUAAAUAUAGGUCUUAUGAAUACGCUGUAGUUAAUUUAGUGCAUGCAUUAUUAUUAUGGUAAGCACAUUAAAAAGAAGAUUACAAUUGGGAAAUACGACAAACUGUUAAGCAUGAAAUGGCACAUGCUUGCAGUAGUUUUUUUUUUUUUUUGAAGUCUGUUAUACACAAAUAUUACUGACAUUACAUCAGACAUUACAAUUAAUAUUUACAAUCAUACUAUAUAACUGGGACCACCACCAUACAUUGACACACUGAAGUAUAUGCUCAAAUAUUUUAAACCCUCUCUAAUAUUCGAGGGGUGCCUACUUCACUCACAUUUCGUGAGGGAGAGACUGUCUCUACUCAAUUAAUUGAUAAUUGAGGAAGAACUGUAACUAACCUCCAUAAUACUUUUAUGGAAGCUCGAACCCUUACACUCAACAUUAUAAAUGUAAUGUUUCUCCCAUUAGACCAAACACCCAUUGGUCAUGCUUGCAGUAGUUGAAAGCACGUAGUUUAAACUUGAGAGAUGAUGCUACAGGGUAUUGUGUCAUGUGAGCAAAGGAAUGGCAGGAUGGACUUCAAUUUUAUUUUAUGUACUUCGAAAAUACUUUAUAAACUAUUGCCACGUGCGAGACAUCUCUUAAUACAACGUAAAGCUGGAAUGGAAUUGAGUGGUUGAUGGCCGGCGCUCAUAACUCCAUGUGAUUGAUUGAAUUGGUGAGAACUGAGAAGCGAGAAGGGUCAGUCUACUUUACAACUCAUCAGUCAUCACACACACACACACACACACAGUGUAGUUGUUGGAGUUUUGAAUAUAUGUAUUUCAAUUCCUAUCAAAUUAUUGUUUUUCAAUAUGUAUGAAUAACCAUUGCUUAUAUGGUGCUAUGUAUUAUUAUUAUUUGCCUUCACUGACCCUUCUCUAGAAUGAUUCCUUAGUUUAAUAUGUAAGUUACUUAUUCCAAUAUAGACACCAAGGUAGAUUUCUCAUCGCAGCAACCCAAAUAUUAGAUAGUAAUAAACAUGAACCCUUAAUUAAAUCUGUUAAUGGGUUGGUCUGGAUGAGUUGGGAAGUAGAUUAUAAGUUUCUCAACUUACACAAAAUUUAGUUUUGAAAGCUCAUCAUAGUUUGCUAAUUCUCCAGGUUUUCAGGAUCAUUAAUAAUGAUAAAAUUGAACUUCAAGUAAAAGCAAAGCUCAAUUGAUCCCUCAAGGCGAGGCCGAGGCGGGGGUUGAAAAAGAGGAAAAAGAAAAAAGAUGGUAGCUACUGGAUUUGUGGGUUAAUUAAGUGGGCCGAGGUUAGUUUGAACCUACUGGGCUAGGAGUUCCAUACAUCUUACGGAAUUCAGUCCACGUGCAAAUCACGUGAGAAAAUGACAAAUCAGCUUCCGAAAUCAGGUGAUGGUGAAGUCCAAUGGGAACAGAGAUUUCACGUGUUUGGUCGAAUCAUUUUCCACGUGUCGAGAUACUUAACGUAAGCAACUUCUAACACGUGGUCAAGAAACUAGGACGGAAUCGAAAACUUAACCUGUCGUUUGCAUAUCCCCUUUUAAAACGUUUUCUGUUUGCUUUUAAUGGAGAUCAUACAUUCAUAUUCUCACAAAAAAACAAUGAAACGAUUGUUCAUAUUAUCAAGUAUUACAAAUUCAGUAGUUUUAACGUUCACUUGAAAAAUAGUAAAUCCCGUAACAUCCCAUGUGUGUUUAUCGAUUGAUUUAAUAAACCUUCCCAUUUUAAAAUCACAGAUCAUUCUUUUUUCAUUGGUGAAGCGUGAGAGAAAGUUAAGUUUGAUGCGAAUAUGCCAAUCCAUCCGAAAUUUCAAUGAAACAACGUGUUGACUUAUGUUGUAACUAGACAAAACCAUUACAACUGUGAGACUUAAAAUGAAACAAGAGUGCAAGAAUCAGUAACUAGUCACUUCACACUUCCUUAAUUUCACAACUCAAGUUUGUUGCCAGGGUUGAACUGUUGGAUUCAUACAGCUGAAUCCGAAAUAAUUGUAACAACCUACAUUCAACAGUUUUAGAAACUGCUCGAUGUUGAAGCAUCUCCAAUAUAACUAGAGCUGGGUUUUAAUUAUGUCAGUGUUAAAUUUAAAUAAAU
rnacentral:lncRNA from 1 species